ACAAGAAUAUGUAAAAAUUGAACUCUUUUAUUAAUUCAAGAUGUGUUUAAUUAUACAUUUAACUUAAAAUAAUUAAGUAACCCAAAAUGUGUCAAAAGCAUUAUUUGGUUCGCUAUGCUAAAUUCACAGUAGAACGAAAUAUUGGCUUGAAGCUACUUAACCAGCUCCAAAAUUAUACUGAACCGACGAUAUUUUUGUUUACCGAUGUAUGUUAGUACGAGUAUAUAUAUGUGUUAGUGGUAUAGUGGUGAUUGAAUACCUUGUAGAGAUAAACAAUUUAUUAAAUGGGAGAGCCACAAUGCGGAGCACCAAAAUAACAUUGGACUGUCGAACGUAUGUAUUAUGUUUUUAUCAGCAAUUAUUUCACCAAAAUUCGAUCGUGAGGCUGUUCGACGGUAGCACGUAUUGUUAUGAAAAA